CAGCUGUAAACGAUGCAGGCUAGGUGUUUGGACGGCCACGUGCCGUUCUAGUGCCGCAGGGAAGCUGUUAAGCCUGCCGCCUGGGGAGUACGAUCGCAAGAUUGAAACUUAAGGAAUUGGCGGGGGAGCACCACAAGGGGUGAAGCUUGCGGUUUAAUUGGAGUCAACGCCGGAAAUCUCACCGGGAGCGACAGCAGUGUGAAGGCCAGACUAAAGGUCUUGCCAGACGAGCUGAGAGGUGGUGCAUGGCGUCAGUGACU
rnacentral:rRNA from 1 species